CAGCCGCCGCGGUAAUACGAAGGGUGCAAGCGUUAAUCGGAAUUACUGGGCGUAAAGCGUGCGUAGGCGGUUUGUUAAGUCUGCUGUGAAAUCCCCGGGCUCAACCUGGGAAUGGCAGUGGAUACUGGCAAGCUAGAGUGUGUCAGAGGAUGGUGGAAUUCCCGGUGUAGCAGUGAAAUGCGUAGAGAUCGGAAGGAACAUCUGUGGCGAAGGCGACUAUCUGGGCCAACACUGACACUGAGGCACGAAAGCGUGGGGAGCAAACAGGAUUAGAUACCCGUGUAGUCCCUGUCUCUUAUAC
rnacentral:rRNA from 1 species